UAUAUUCAAAUGUUCAUUUUUGAAAAAGUUACGGCAGUUUUUAGUAAAAAAAAUUGAAAAAAUUUCGAAAAUUAGCGAUUUUUAAAUUUGUAAUUUUUUUGGAGGUUUCCCCCAUUUACGGGGAACGAGGGAAAUUUUUUCAAUUUUGAAGGGUAAUGUCUUCGACUAGAUACGAUUUGUGAUCUUUUGACGUAUCGUUGAAAGAAAUCCGUUCGGUGAGAGCUGAGAAAAAGUGGUAACAGACACAAAAAAAAAAAAAAACACAUCAUAGUAAAACCAAUACCUUCUCAGCUUCGCAUCGAAGCUAAAACUGAAAAAAAUUAUAAAAUUUAUCGAUUUUUAAAUUUUUAUUUUUUUUGGAGAUUUUCCCUAUUUGCGGGGAACGAUGGAAAAUUUUUAAAUUUUUAAGGGUAAUGUCUUCAACUAGAUACAAUUUGUGAUCUUUUGACGUAUUGUUAAAAGAAAUCGGUCCAGUGAGAGCUGAGAAAAAGUAGUGACAGACACAAAAAAAAAAAUAAAAAAAAAAUAAA